rnacentral:tRNA from 1 species
GGAGAGAUGGUUCAGCGGUUAAGAGCGCCGACUACUCUUCUGGAGGUCCUGCGUUCAAAUCCCAGUACCCACA